rnacentral:rRNA from 1 species
UAGGGAAUCUUCGGCAAUGGGCGAAAGCCUGACCGAGCAACGCCGCGUGAGCGAUGAAGGCCUUCGGGUCGUAAAGCUCUGUUGUUAAGGAAGAACAAGUACGAGAGUAACUGCUCGUACCUUGACGGUACUUAACGAGAAAGCCACGGC